CACGGAUUUUUAAGGAUGUUUAUAUGGUUCUAGUGACAGAUUAACAAGAAUUCUACAUCAUUUACAGGAGAAACAUUCUUGAGAACCCGGCUCAGUAUCGCUGUGGUCUUUGAAAUAGUCGUGGUGAGAGAGCAAAGCGUUUCAGAGACGGGCCAUGAGGAAGGGAGACCCGGUAGAGUCACCAUCCAGCCACCAGAACGAGCAGUUGUUCCCUGGAGGUGCAAGGGAGAAGGUAUGUCGCUCCGCUACCUGUAAGUUCAUCUACAGGCAUAAUUUUUAAGGAGGAUGUGAAUGCUUCUGGAGCAGCUUCAGGAGACGGGAAUCCAGCAGGAUGGGGUUCACUGACAAGUCAGUGACUACUGACUUGACUGGAGAAACUACUGCUGGUCGUGCCCCUGCCCUACAAUGCAUAACAGAAAGAGAUUGAUCGUUCCACCUGCUAUCAGAGAGGAUGUUCUGUGUGAUAGUGACCUUGGCCUCUGGGAUCUCUCUUUGAACAAAUGCAUCAUACUGCCUGGAGUAACAGGAAGCAUGACCAACCAGGCUCAUGUCACAUCUGUCUAGUGAGCAAGAGGUUUCCUGAACAAGUUGGACUGUUGCCAGAAAGUUUGGCUGUAUUUUUUAUAUGGAUGGUGAUGGAUCGGUGAUGAUUGUGGGAGUGUUUGGGACAGAUUUCAUUCUGGUGUGUGCUGAAAGUUAUUUUUCUGUGGAUGGUGUUAUAGGGGAGAGAGGUAAAUAAAUGAAAGAAUGUUAAGUAGAGAUUUGAGUUGUGUGUGUGUGUGCUGGAGACCAAUUUACUGCACAGAAAUUGAAAGAGUACCUGUGGUCAAGAGUAAAUUUAGUAUUUUUCCUCAAUCUUUAUUUACUCAAGAAUAUCCCUACAAGUGAUUGUUUUUUUCCUUCAAUCUUUACUUACAUUUUCUUAGAAUUAAAUCAAUUUCACCCAAUGCUUU